GAUCCGGGCUCAGGAUGAACGCUGGCGGCGUGCUUAACACAUGCAAGUCGAGCGAAGCACUUUGGAAAGAUUCUUCGGAUGAUUUCCUUUGUGACUGAGCGGCGGACGGGUGAGGUAACGCGUGGGUAACCUGCCUCAUACAGGGGGAUAACAGUUAGAAAUGACUGCUAAUACCGCAUAAGACCACGGUACCGCAUGGUACAGUGGUAAAAACUCCGGUGGUAUGAGAUGGACCCGCGU
rnacentral:rRNA from 1 species